UUUGCCAUAGAGUUUGAUCCUGGCUCAGAACGAACGCUGGCGGCAUGCCUAACACAUGCAAGUCGAACGAGACCUUCGGGUCUAGUGGCGCACGGGUGCGUAACGCGUGGGAAUCUGCCCUUGGGUUCGGAAUAACAGUUAGAAAUGACUGCUAAUACCGGAUGAUGACUUCGGUCCGAAGAUUUAUCGCCCAGGGAUGAGCCCGCGUAGGAUUAGCUUGUUGGUGAGGUAAAAGCUCACCAAGGCGACGAUCCUUAGCUUGGUCUGAGAGGAUGAUCAUCCACACUGGGACUGAGACACGGUCCAGACUCCUACGGGAAGCAGCAGUGGGGAAUAUUGGACUAUGGGUAAAACCCUUAUUCAUUCAUUCCGCGUGAGUGACGAAAGGCCUACGGUUGUA
rnacentral:rRNA from 1 species